AAAAUGACCUAAAUGUCAUGAUGUCAUGUGGUAUUACAGAUUGAGUCCUGGAACAGAAAGAAGAUGGGGUAGAAAAACUGGUGCCAUGGGAGUGAAGUCUACAGACGAAGCCCUGUGGCUGGGCUGCAUCCAAGGCCUCUGUCCCCGACCCAACCCGAAGACUGAUGUUCUCCAGAGGGAGCAGGAAGGUGGAGAAUUUUUAAACCGAAAAGACUCUGGCAUGGACAGUUCCUGGCAUGUUGAACAAUCUCCAUCCCAUUCCUGAGGACUAAAACAGCCGAUCAACCAAACUGCAUCUAAAGAUUUAAGAAAACCUGCUAUCUCCCUGGACCGUCCCAUAUUGGCAGAAGUGUAAAAAGCUCAUGUUCCAAUGCUCCAAUGAUGUGUUUCUUGCUUCCGGUUAAAAAACCCAGCUGCUGACGUACUGUUGGAAAACAGAUUACUGUGAAACAUGAAAAAGUGAAGAGCAUUAGGGAAAAACAGGAAGAUCUUCCUCUCCCCCAUCCUACCUAUGGCUCCAGGCUCUGCCCCCAGACUUUUUUCCAAAACCAGCUGCUGCCCUGAGAGACUUGCAGGAGGUGGAAAUGAGCUGCAGUGGGUUGGGCUGAACCAUUCAGCUCAGGUCUGCGGCAGUACGUCAUCUCACUUCAUCUUUACUUGAUAGAUAUUUUUAAUU